rnacentral:misc_RNA from 1 species
GCCAAAUCGAAUCCAACUGUUUUACCAGAACAAAAACACCGGUUGGCGUCCGACUCGUCGUCGUUGUUGUCUUGCUUAUGCAUCGUGAUUGAAAUUUCUUCAUCAUGUGAUUUAGUUCCUUCUGUGAAAGCUCAGGUACAUUAUCUUGUAAGGUACUUCUUAGCACCUUCCUUAUGCUCAAUUCACUACAACAUUUUGCUAUUUAAUGUCUUUUGGACAUUUUUUAGGAAGUGGUUUCCCACAGAGUAAUUCAUUUCCAAUGUAAAUGGAUGGAUCUUGAAACUUGAGAAGCUUAGGUAUGCUCCCCUCCAGUUUAUUGAACGAAAGAUUCAGCCUUUGCAGAGAAGAUAUUGCUGCGAAGCUCUGAGGUAUGGCUCCAGAAAACUUGUUUUUUGAUAGAUCAAGCGUCUCCAAGCGACUCAGUUCUGAUAUUUUCUCGGGAAUGCUUCCUGCCAUGGAGUUUCUUGAUAAAUUCAGGAUUCGGAGAUACAAGAGGCCUAAGAUUUCUCUUGGGAUCUCUCCGCUUAUGUUGUUCCCUGAAAGAUUUAUGCUAUUGGCUAUGGCUUCGUAUUCACGAGCUCUGGUCACAAUGAAGACUAGAUUCUGGAACACCUCAUUGUUUGUACCUCGAGCAAUGGCUGUGAGAUUGCUGAUGCAUUUUGGAAUAGGGCCCGAGAUUUUGUUUCCGGAGAGGUCCAGAAUGCGUAGAUUUGGAACGUUGCAGAGAUCAUCUGGGAUUUGACCAGUGAAGGAGUUACUUUGCAGACGAAGCAUGAAUAGAGAAGACAGCUUUCCUACCCAUGAAGGAAGCUUCCCGGUCAGCUUGUUUCCUCCGAGAUCUAUGUUCGUAAGGCCAGAACAAUUCCGAAGACUCUCUGGGAUUUUACCUUCCAACGAAUUUUGGUUCAGAAGCAAGACGCUGAGAGAAGGUAACAUACCAAGAGACUCUGGUAUUUCGCCUGAUAAGUUAUUCUCAGACACGUCAAUUCCCCAAAGCAUGAACUGACGGUGCCAACAUUUUGGAAAACUACCAGAGAAAUGGUUCUUCCUCAGUGACAGAAUUUGCAGUCCGGAGACUUCACAUAGAGACGAUGGGAUGUUGCCUGUGAAGCUGUUGCUAAAGAGGUAGAUCUUCUCCAUUCUUGGCAUCAAGACGUCAAUGUUUUGUGGAAGAGAACCCGAGAAGUUGUUCUCGUAAAGACGCAGCUCUGUUGCGUUUGUAGACCAGAGAGGAAAAGUGCCUUCAAAGUUGUUGGAGCUCAAAUCAAUGGUGUUUAACUUUGGGAACGCAAGCUUUUGAGGUAAUCUACCUUUGAUUCUGUUGUUUGCUAGAAUUAGGUAAGUAACUUUAGAAGAGAUUCCAGAGAACCAGCUAUCCGGUAUUGUAUCUUCAAUACCAGUGUUUCUGAGUGUGACAAAGUUGAGCUUGGUUUGUACUUGGAGCCACAUUGGAAACAGACCGAUCCGACAGUUCUCGAUUUGGAUCAACUCCAGUCUGAAAGGAGGAAUCCAAGUAGAUGGUAACUUGAAGACAAGAGAUCUGUAUGGUUCAGUUGUUAGACGGAUGCUUUUCAAGCUUCUGAGAUUCACGAAAUGUGACUUUUGCAGAACGCCUCCCCAUGUAUUCGCCAUCAAGUUCAGAUCCACAAGCUCUGCAAGCUGCCCCAAGCUUUCCGCAAUUGUCCCGUUCAUGGCAUUGUUAGAAAGAUCAAGUUUCUUCAGUGACGCCAUGUUUCCUAUCGAGGAAGGGACCGAACCCGUGAAGGAAUUCGAUGAAAGAUCCAGAGUCUGCAGAUUCCUCAACGAUCCAAGUGACUCGGGCAAUGUCCCAGCUAACUUGUUGGAACUGAGAUCGAGAAAGACCAAGCUGUUUCCUUUGUUUCUGGAGAAGGCGUCUAGAAACCCAUGGAUUUGACCGUUGAGUUCGUUUGCAGAAAGGUCAAGAAACUUCAGUUGAGGAAGGUCUCCAAGAACCGAUGGAAUCUCGCCUUGUAGUGCCAGAUUAUUCGACAGAUCAAGUGUCUCUAGAAGCUUCAAGUUCUUGAACCCCGUAGGAAUCGAACCCUGGAGAAAAUCCCAUCUGAGGAAUAGCUUUCUGAGGUUGGUAAGACCAAAUAGCCAGUUAGGUAUCGGCGAAUUGAGAGAGUUUUCAGACAAAUCAAGAACUUCAAGGAGCUUCAGAUCCGCAGACGAAGACAAGGUGGGAGGUAAGUUCUUGAGCUCACUAUUGAACAAAUGCAACUCCUUUAGCGCCGAGAUUCUGCUGAAAUCCUGUAACCAGGUUUCACCCGCACCACUUAGAUUUACAUACCCCAUGUUGAGAUACUUCAGGGAAGAAGACAGACUUGAAAGCCACCGGAGAUUGCUUGCGCGCAAUGAUAAUGUACCAGAGUCACCAAACGACUCUGCAUACAGAUCAAGAGACUCCAGCUUCGACAAAUUUCCAAGACUCGUUGGGAUUUCGCCGGAAAACGAUGAGGAAGAAAGAUUCAGGUACCUUAGACUAACAAUUUGGCCAAUAAACUCAGGAAUCUCUAGUUCAUUGAAAUCAUUUGAACUCAAGUCCAGAUAGCUCAAGAACUUGAGUUGAGUCAAAGACGGAUGUAUCUUCCCUCGCAAGGAACCUCUUUUAUACUCAUCAGAGCGAACAUCUUGACUCGGGUUUCUGAGAUCAAUCUUGACAACGUGGCUGGUCCGAGCAUCGCAAAGAACACCGGGCCAGUUGCAGCAGUCAGGUCCGGACCAAGAAAAGAGCCUACUCGAAAGAUCAGUUAGUGCUGCUCUGAAGGUGAGAAGAGCUUGCCGCUCGGUGGAUAUGCAUUUCGGACUAGCUGCAGAUCCGUAAUUAAGAUUUUUGAGAAGUAAAAUGAGAAUCAGAAAAGAGAUGAAGAAGCUAGGCCUUAGCUUGAGGUCCAUACUUGAAGCUAUGUUUGUGUUGUUUCUUUUCUCAGACGUUUAGAUAUAUAUAUGUUCAAACGCGGACAUAUUAGACCAGCAUUGUAUGUAUAUACAUAUACAAAUUGAAUAUAUGUAUACAAAUAUACGUGUAUAUCUUUAACAAAUACGACACGGUUUAUAUCAAUGUAUAAAAUACGAAAAUGGAAACGUGUUAUUUUGG